UACGGAGGGGGCAAGCGUUAUUCGGAAUUAUUGGGCGUAAAGGGCGCGUAGGCGGCUAGAUGUGUCAAAGGUGAAAUCCCUCGGCUCAACUGAGGAACUGCCUUUGAAACUGUCUGGCUUGAGGCCGGGAGAGGGUAGCGGAAUUCCCAGUGUAGCGGUGAAAUGCGUAGAUAUUGGGAGGAACACCGAUGGCGAAGGCAGCUCGCUGGGACGGUACUGACGCUGAGGCGCGAAAGCGUGGGGAGCAAACAGG
rnacentral:rRNA from 1 species